rnacentral:tRNA from 2 species
GGCGCGAUGGCGGAGUGGUUAUCGCGAGAGACUAGAACCAUCUUCUGACUAAUCUCUUCCCUUCGGGGGCGUAGGUUCGAAUCCUGCUCGCGUCG